AGGGUACUCUACGUGAUGUGAUCUUGGUGAUUCAGAGUGGUGCUGCCGCCAGCUAUUUCUUCAGCCUCGCGUUUACUAGAGAACUCUCAUUGGCCACUGCCAGCAGGACGGAAAUCAAGCACAGCCAAUCUUCUUUCUCUGCUGCAAAAAGGGCGGUGCUUAGCGGUGAUGAMUCAGCAGAGCUGAUUGGUUUAGGGUUAGGACUAGGGGCUGGACUUCCUCUCAGCGCCACCAAGCAUGACCACUUUCACAGAAGACACUCACACCUGACUCCUCUGAAGAGGACAAUCAGCCAAUCAGAGACGAGCUAACUGGCGGGGAAACUCCGGAAAGCUCAGAUGACAUCAUCAAGGUAGAGUUCAAUAACACCGACCGUCCYCUGAUCUCUUGUCUAAUUCUGACUGGCUGACCGCUGUAGCUCAGCCCCUGCAGCAGCGGGCGGGAGACCCUUUCAGACUUCUACAUGUCCCCCGACGACGAUCUUUCUGCCAUAGAAAUGACCCUUGACCCUGAGCCAACCCUGAACCCUCCAGCAGACAUUGAGGAUGAAAACCCAUCGCUCACUGGCUCUACUGUCCCCUCUGUUACCCCCGGCAAUGACGAUCCCCAGCCCCUCCUUCCCCUCCUCAGGGGUCAGAUGGGUGUGGUCUGGGCUUUGUGAGGUCAGAGGUCGGAGGUGAGUGUGUGUCUCAGUGUGAUGCACAGCCGGACUUCUGCUACAACAGAGGAGUGUGUACCAUCGUUACAGGGACAGGAGCAUUCUGCAGGUAAUUGAACAGAGUCCUCAGUGGGAUAGUUCUCCCUCCUUUCUCCCUAGGUGUAAUGCUCAGGACUAUAUGUGGAAUAAGGGCUCUCGUUGUGAUUGGGUGGUGACAGACUUCCAGGUGCUGUGUGUGGUAGUGGGCGUGGCCUCUCUGACCCUCAUACCUAUUAUCAUCAUUGUCUUCUUCGCUACGCAACUCCACCGCUUCAGGACUGAGAACAGGCGACUCCGCAAACGCAGUCUAUACCGUCCACAAAGCGAGAUGCAGACGGAUGGCUUCUCUGUUUCCAUAGCGCCAGACAGUUCCCAUGCCAACGUAAGGAAGCUGUGUGACAGGAAACAGAAAGAAAACUGGCAUUUCAGACAGAAGAUCUAGCAUUUCAACCCCCCCCUUUUUGUCUUUUGACAUGUGUGUUGGAUAGUGGCGCUCACCUUUUGUGGGGGGUCUUGUGAUAGUUGUGAGGUUGCUUUGGGCCCCCAAUUCAGCCAUUUCUAACACCAGCUGCUCUUGGAAGGCCAACUGGGGGAGAGGGGUUUGACCUUUUGCUUUGUCCAUCUGCUUGUGAAGAAUGUAAGCAUUUACUGUAGCAAUGUCCACAAAUUGGUAGGAAAAAGUCUUAUACCACUUCCUGGUCUUGUGGAGGACCUGGUAGUAGCCKAUCAGAGCGUCAGAUAGGUUGACACCCCCCAUGCUGGCAUUGUAGUCCUUCACAGAAACAGGAAUGGUAGUGGCUGUCUCAGCUGUCUCAGCCACUACCUGUCACCAAGGGAGUACCCCAAGGCUCAUACCUAGCCCCCACGUUCCUCUCAAUUUACAUCAACAACAUAGCUCGGGCAGUAGGAAGCUCUUUCAUCCAUUUUAUAUGCAGAUGACAGUCUUAUACUCAGCUGGCCCCUCCCCGGAUGUUGUGUUAAAUGCUCUACAACAAAGGUU